GUUUCUGUAACUCAGUGGUAGAGUGCACGAUUGCAAUUGUCUCGCGUUAUCGUGCGGUCCUGGGAUCGACCCCCAGCAGGAACU